GAGUUUGAUCCUGGCUCAGGAUGAACGCUGGCGGCGUGCCUAAUACAUGCAAGUCGAGCGAACGGACGAGAAGCUUGCUUCUCUGAUGUUAGCGGCGGACGGGUGAGUAACACGUGGAUAACCUACCUAUAAGACUGGGAUAACUUCGGGAAACCGGAGCUAAUACCGGAUAAUAUUUUGAACCGCAUGGUUCAAAAGUGAAAGACGGUCUUGCUGUCACUUAUAGAUGGAUCCGCGCUGCAUUAGCUAGUUGGUAAGGUAACGGCUUACCAAGGCAACGAUGCAUAGCCGACCUGACGAGGGUGAUCGGCCACACUGGAACUGAGACACGGUCCAGACUCCUACGGGAGGCAGCAGUAGGGAAUCUUCGCAAUGGGCAAAGCCUGACGGAGCAACGCCGCGUGAGU
rnacentral:rRNA from 1 species